AUGAUUAGAGUGAGACUUCAGAGUUUAAAUAGCGUAGCAUCUCUAUCCAAUUUGGGAUUUGGGCAAAAGAAAUACAAUUACUGGGCACCAAGCCCAUCCAUAGAGGAGGCGUUGAAGAAGUUUGUAUUGAACUCACCAGCACGUACUGGAGCAAGCAGCCGUGGCCGCCGGCCGGAGGAUAGCACGAAGCGGUCGUGGUCUAAACCAGGGCCACCGCUAGCACUACUCAUAGUGCCGCCACCAACACCACCUGAACUGUCGCCGCAGCCAGCCGACCACCACAAGCCACGCUUCCCAACAUCUGCCAUGUCGCGCCCACCUCGCCGCCGAGGCCGCCGAGCACCAGGCCGUCGCGCCCCAGUGGUCAACCGUCGCUCCCCACGACGCCCAGCCUAA
rnacentral:rRNA from 1 species